rnacentral:rRNA from 1 species
AUUGAACGCUAGCGGGAUGCUUAACACAUGCAAGUCGAACGAGUGGCGGACGGGUGAGUAAUAUAUCGGCACGUGCCCACUCGCGGGGGAUAACUACUCGAAAGAGUGGCUAAUACCGCAUACGAUUGGAUCGGCCGAUAUCGGAUUAGCUAGUUGGUGAGGUAAAGGCUCACCAAGGCAACGAUCCGUAGCUGGUUUGAGAGGAUGACCAGCCACACUGGGACUGAGACACGGCCCAGACUCCUACGGGAGGCAGCAGUGGGGAAUUUUGGACAAUGGGGGAAAGCCUGAUCCAGCCAUGCCGCGUGUAUGAGAAGGCCUUCGGGUUGUAAAGUACUUUUGGCAGAGAAGCGGUAUCUACAGAAGAAGCACCGGCUAACUACGUGCCAGCAGCCGCGGUAAUUC